CUCGUUGCCGUGCCAUCGUCUCUGCGUGGAGGUUGCCAUGCCGUCGUCGCUGCAUGGAGGUUGCCGUGCCGUCGUCGCUGCAUGGAGGAGACAACGACACGCACGAUGCUGUUUGCCGUUGGACUCCCACGCCCGGCGCCCACCCAGUUCCACCUCGUUGUCGUCCGUGCCGAGGUGAGCUCCGUCUAGCCCCUCUCGCUGUUUACCUCUCUCUCCUCCGGUUCCUCCCUCUUCUUCCUCGGUGUGCUGCACCCUCUCUCCCCUUGGCCAUGCCGACUCUCUAGCCUGCGCACCGAGUCUCCGCCUCAUGCCCCAUCCGCGGCACGCCC
rnacentral:lncRNA from 7 species